GGAGGUCCGAACCCACGAGCGUUGAAAAGCUCGGGGAUGACUUGUGGGUAGCGGUGAAAUUCCAAUCGAGCCCGGAGAUAGCUGGUUCUCCCCGAAAUAGCUUUAGGGCUAGCCUCAAGGUGAGAGAUACGGAGGUAGAGCACUGAAUGUCCUAGGGGGUAUUGCACCUACCGAAGACUAUCAAACUCCGAAUGCCGUCAUCUUAUACUUGGGAGUCAGACUGUGGGUGAUAAGAUUCAUAGUCGAAAGGGCAACAGCCCAGAUCGUCAGCUAAGGUCCCUAAAUGUAAGUUAAGUGGUAAAGGAUGUGGGAUUGCACAGACAACCAGGAUGUUGGCUUAGAAGCAGCCACUCAUUCAAAGAGUGCGUAAUAGCUCACUGGUCGAGUGAUCCUGCGCCGAAGAUUUCCGGGGCUAAAACUUACUACCGAAGCUACGGCAUCAGUAAUGAUGGGUAGGGGAGCUUCCCAUACGGGUUGAAGCAUGACCGUAAGGACAUGUGGACAGUAUGGGAGUGAGAAUGUUGGCAUGAGUAGCGAGAUGUGGGUGAGAAUCCCACAGGCCGUAAACCCAAGGUUUCCAGGGGAAGGUUCGUCCGCCCUGGGUUAGUCGGGACCUAAGCUGAGGCCGAAAGGCGGAGGUGAUGGACAACAGGUUGAUAUUCCUGUACUACCGAUAACCGUUUGAGAGAUGGGAUGACACAGUAGGAUAAGCUAAGCACACUGUUGGUUAUGUGUGCCCAAGCAUUGAGGCAGUCAAAGUAGGCAAAUCCGCUUUGAUAAUGCUGGGAUGUGAUGGGGAGCGAAAUUUAGUAGCGAA
rnacentral:rRNA from 1 species